rnacentral:lncRNA from 1 species
AUGGUUUUGGGUGGAGGCUUUGCCCAACUUGUCAGGUUGUUCUGCUUUCAGCACCAGCCUGUGACAUACCAGCCUUGCCCACUCCUGGAGAGCAGCAGCUUGAGCAGAGUGACUGCAGCCCCUAUGGAAAAAAUUCCUGCAAUCUCCUUACCCCCCGCCCCAGCCUUGGAGUGUGCUCUGCAUGCCGAGUGCUCUGAGGUAAUGGGACUCGUGUUUGCUUUGCUUGAAUGUAAAACUGGUGCUGAAAUGUACAUUUUCAGUCGCCUGACAUCCCGAGGAGCUGUUUGUCUGUCAGUGUGCUGAGGCUGUGCGCGGUUUCCCUCUUGCCCUUGGCUGGAGGUGGCUGCAGCCAUUGGCUCUCGAGCCUCUGCCAUAAUGUAACUUAUUAAUCAUUAUGUUCAUAGAAACUCGGAAUCAUUUAGGGUGGAAAAGUUCUGCAAGAUCAUCAAAUCCAGCAGCUCCCCCAGUUCUGCUACUGACCCGUGUCCCCAGGCGCCACAUCCGCACAGCUUUCCAACCCCUCCAGGGAUCGGGACUCCACCGCUGCCCAGCGACUGACAGCUCUCUCCACACAGAAACUUUUCAAAAUACCCAACAUUAAUCUCCCCUGGCACAACCUGAGGCUGCUUCCUCCUGCCCUGUUGUCACUUGUUACCAGGGGGAAAGGACCAACCUCACCUCAGUACAACCUCCUGUCAGGUACAAGAUGGAUCCAGAUUAGCGCUUACACGCGGAGCCUUUGGAUUUGUUUUGUUUUCACCUUGUAUUCUUCGCUUUAUCUCAGAGUAUCCCAAGCAGGGUGAUAAGGUGGAUAAGGUGAGAGGAGAUCCUGCAGAGCAGAGCUUUGGUGACUAACAAGCCGAGCAAUUCCUCCUGGAGCUGUUAGCCAGAAGUUACAGGAGGAGAUUUAGGAGCAUGCAAAGGUGCAAAAUCCCGGGCUCCUGGAAAGCCAAUAAAAGACCCCCAAAGUCUGGGCUUUGAUGUUUU